AUCCAGCCUUGUAGCUCUGCUUGGGACUUGCACAGAGGACAGAUAUAGUACUGUCAGGAUAACAUAUGUUUGGAAAGGUCAGGAGAAGUUUCUCAAGGAUUUAUGUGCAUUGCCACGCAUAUUUUACAUCACUCGCUUAAAAUUGAGCUAUAAUCACGAAUAACCUUUUGUAGCUCAAACAAAGGGCAAAAUGAUUUGUUCCAGGAAGGAUCAGUGUUCGAUCUUUCUCUUGUAUUUUCUGCUAAUUUGCCAAUGGCUACAUGAUGCCUAUAAGAAGGAGCGGACAAAUUCAGCAGUACUCUGCUAGUGUGAAAGGUAAUCUGGUUCUUGUCACUGUAGUUCAAGUGGAUAUGACAUGCAAUUACACAUUUCUUUCUGUUUAAAACAGAGCUGGUCAAACCGUUAUGUACUGGUAGAGCUAUGCUUGGAAAUGUACUGUAGCAAUCAGUCAUGUCCACCAGCAAAGAAUGACUCUGUCUCACCCACAAUAGUGUCAAAAUGGAAACCCAGCAAUCAUUACACCAUCCUCAUCUUGCACACAGAAAAUUUGGAAUUUCACACAAAGAUGCGGACAGAACAUGGAAACAACAACUGCAGUGGGCUGGUACAAAUCUACAAUGCAAGCAGAUUGAUAGGAACGAUGUGGCUUCAUAGAUGCAAGCAACACUGAAGACAGAUGGACACCAGACAGGUGUGUCGGCAGCACUGGAGCGGAUAGACAUUAGACCGAUGUAUCGGCAACACUGGAGUGGAUGGACACUGGACAGGUGCGUCAGCAGCACAGGAGUGGAUGGACACAGCAGCCCCUGGAUAAACACAGACAGCAGCCCCUGGAUAAGCACAGACAGCUACCCCUGGAUAGCAGCCCCUGGAUGGACACAGACAGCAGCCCCCGGAUGGACACAGACAGCAGCUUCUGGAUGGACACAGCAGCCCCUGGAUGGACACAGAAAGCAGCUUCUCGAUGGACACAGGGCCUAAUUCAGAUGAUUGCAACAGCAAAUUUGUUAGCUAAUGGGCAAAACCAUGGUGGUCAUUCAGAGUUGUUCGCUCGCUAGCAGUAUUUAGCAGCCGUGCAAACGCUAUGCCGCCUGCCACUGGGAGUGUAUUUUAGCUUAGCAGAAGUGCGAACGAAAGGAUCGCAGAGCGGCGGCAUAAUUUGUUUGUGCAGUUUUAGAGUAGCUCAAUACCUACUUAGCGCUUGCGAUGACUUCAGACUGUUCAGUUCCUGUUUUGACGUCACAAACACACCCUGCGUUUGCCAAGCCACGCCUGCGUUUUUCCUGGCAUGCCUGCGUUUGUCCGAACACUCCUUGAAAACGGUCAGUUGACACCCAGAAACGCCCACUUUAUGUCAAUCACUCUGCGGUCAGCAGUGCGACUCAAAUGCUUCGCUAGACCUUGUGAUUGUCACAGGAGGCAUAUCCGUGCUCAGAUUGCUGAGUCAAGGUGUGCGAUGUGUCAAUUAGCCAAUUGGAGCACUGCAGAAACUGCUGAGAAGUUCCUGCAACAUAUCAGGAAGCUCUUACAGCAGCAUCUGCAGUAGUGUGUAAAUGGUGAAGAGAGAGGGGAUGGGUGCCUGCUCUCUAAUAAACAUUUUGUUUCUUUAAACUAAAACUGGUUGCCCAAGGCAGUAAGUCUGGGUACACACCACAGCCACAAAGCAGCAGAUUAGGUAUGCUAUAUACACUUAAACCAUCGGCCGCUCGAUCUGUCGAUGCUGACAUAUUAACUGGGUGGGCUUUUGAAUCUGCCUGUCUAAUUGUGUUGUCAGUGUCAGCGGUACCCGCAGCCAGUGUAUGGGCAGUUGCAGGGUCACCCAUACACACAACCAGACAUGCCAAUAUAUCAUUCAGAUAUAUCGGCAUCGGCUCUGCUGCAAGGCCAAAAUAAUGUAUUUCUGAACGACAUAUCGGUUGUACACAUCCUCCGAUGAUCUAUAUGAUGAAUAAUAUUUAUGUCUAGUGUAUACCCACCAUAAGAGAAGAACCAGACCACCCCUGCAUGAACCCCGCCCCUUGAUAGAGACGUACCUGUGAACGUGGUGCGGGCACAGUAGGCUCUUGUACAAUGCCAGAGUCUGCUGCACCGCCAGAGAGGAGGGGGCCCGAUCGGAGCCUGCACAGAGGCCCCCUCCUCUCUUAAAGUGCUUCUGCUUUAUCCCCUAUUUUCUCUCAUUACUCACUCCCUCUAGAACAGUGGGAUGUAAUUAAAAGGUGUACAUUAACAAUGUCGACGUGCAUCCUGUCGACACCACAUGUCCAGUUAUGAUGUUGACAUUGUUAAAAUGUCUACAAGCAACAUGUUGUCAUUCUCACAAUGUCCUAUUUGAACAUUAACGUUAAUACGCAUUUUGGUUAUUGGGUGUCACUGUAACUAGAUGGGGGCUGCUAUCCUUGAAAAACACUAGUUGGUUGAUCUCCAUUUUUGACUAUACUAUAUUCCCAGAAUGUUUACAGGUAAAAUGUUGGCAUUCGCCCUCAUUCCGAGUUGAUCGCUCGCUAGCUGCUUUUAGCAGCAUUGCACAUGCUAGGCCGCCGCCCUCUGGGAGUGUAUCUUAGCUUAGCAGAAUAGCGAACGAAAGAUUAGCAGAACUGCUACUAAAUAAUUCUUUGCAGUUUCUGAGUAGCUCCUGACCUACUCACAGAUUGCGAUCAGCUCGGUCCGUUUAGUUCCUGGUUUGACGUCACAAACUCGCUCUGCGUUCGGCCAGCCACUCCUGCGUUUUUGCCUGACACGCCUGCGUUUUUUAGCACACUCCUGGAAAAUGCUCAGUUACCACCCAGAAACGCCCCUUUCCUGUCAAUCACUCACCGAUCAGCAGUGCGACUGAAAAGCGCCGCAGAAUCCACAGCAAAUCUACUAAGUUCUUAGUUAAAUAACUAAGCGCAUGCGCCCUGCAUGCCUUGCGCAUGCGCAUUUUGCAACAAAUCGCAGCAUAGCGAAAAUCGGCAACGAGCGAACAACUUGGAAUGACCCCCAUUGUCAGAAUGUUGACAUUAGGGUUAGGCUGCCGGAGGGUUAGGGAUAGGCUGCAGGCAGAGGCGGAUUGGCCAUAGGGCUUACAGAGAAGAAUCCCGGUGGGCCGACGCACCCGCUGGGCCUGUUUUGUUUGAGGACAUGUGGUCCUAUUUAUAGACAUAAUGAAUAAGAUGCAAAAUAAUUUGCAUAUAUGAAAAUUUCUUUACCACUUAGCCUGUCAUUGCAGAUGAUCUAGUGCAGUGGUUCUCAAACUCGGUCCUCAGGACCCCACACAGUGCAUGUUUUGCAGGUAACCCAGCAAGUGCACAGGUGUAUUAAUUACUCACUGAGACAUUUUAAAAGGUCCACAGGUGGAGCUAAUUAUGUCACUUGUAAUUCUGUCAGGAGACCUGCAAAUCAUGCACUGUGUGGGGUCCUGAGGACCGAGUUUGAGAACCUGUGAUCUAGUGUAUGCUCUGUCUGCCUGCUUGGCUGACAUAUAAGAUUGAGUGAAUAGUGAUUGGAAUACGGUUGGUGUAAUAAGCAAGAAAAUAGAUCUUUCUAAAGAAUGAUAUAGUUUCCUAAAUUCUGAAGGUGUAUCAUAUAAUGUGCUCAUAAUAUUUAAUUUUAUUUCAUUUUAACUUCCCCCUUGAUGCUGGACAUGCCCACUAUCUGGAAAGUCUUGGGGGGAGGGUGCUGCUGCCAUGGCCCAUGGGUAGACAUUACGCCAUUGACCUUACCCAUGUGGGGCCACUAGUACAAAUUUUUCCAGGGCCGCUUUUUGUUCCCAAUCCGCCCCUGGGCUGCAGGGGUUUUAGGAUUGUUCUGUUUGACUUGUCUAAUACUGGUAUGCACCAGCAGGGACUGCUGCCUGGAAUCAACUCUUUCUGUUCAGGACUAUUGACCUGCUUGUUAAGAGUUAAUCUGCCUGAUUAGUGGCAUCUUUGGUGCAGGUACUUAACUUCUCUCCAUGAGACUGUGCAUUGCUGGUCAAUUAGUUCCUGUGCUAUUCUUGGGAUCUGCAUCUGAAGUUACUGAUGUUUCUCUGAUCAGGGCCGAAACUAGGAUUUACGUCACCCGGGGCAAGGCAUUAGCUUGGCACCCCCCACCCCCACCCACGCAUGUAACUAUGUGUGCGUAUUAUAUAUAUAUAUAUAUAUAUAGCAGUGAGAGAGGAUCCGGC